UUUCCGUAGGUGAACCUGCGGAAGGAUCAUUCAUAAUAAAGUGUUUUAUAGCACUUUUUGAAAGUCAAUAUCCACCUUGUGUGCAAUGUUAGAUCUCGUCAAUCUUGGCGAGAUUUUUAUACAUCAACUCAUUCUUUAACUAAUUUGUCUGAAAAAUAUUAUGAAUACUUAAUUCAAAAUACAACUUUCAACAACGGAUCUCUUGGCUCUC
rnacentral:misc_RNA from 1 species